rnacentral:misc_RNA from 1 species
AAACCAAACGACUGCGAUUAACCAGCCGUGGCAUCAUCUUCGACAUCUAAACCCCUGAGCAAACUCCACGCCAUGCUCACAAGAUGACCAGACAAUGGCCCCUUAGGGCUUUUUCUGGUGCGCUAUCACGUGCAUACUCCUCUUCCUCAUCUUCGCCGUUCCCUCUGAAGCACGUGGCCAAAUUGAACUUCGAAUCCGCAUUCUGCGAGCUCAAAAGCCAUGUUGGAGCCGCCGAUUUCGUGGCCAUCGAUCUGGAGAUGACCGGCGUCACCAGCGCUCCCUGGCGAGAGUCCUUCGAAUAUGACCGAUACGACGUUCGCUACCUCAAGGUCAAAGAUUCCGCUGAAAAGUUCGCUAUCCUUCAGUUCGGCGUCUGUCCUUUUCGCUGGGACGCCCACCACCAAUCCUUCAUUGCUCAUCCGUCGGUGCUUCCUCCUCUCUUUCUCUCUCUCAAUGUUGAUUUGGUUGCUUAGUCGAAUGUCUCAUUUAACAGGCACAAUUUCUACAUAUUUCCCCGUCAAGAGCUAGCAGCUGAUGGUACCUCUUAUGAGUUCCUCUGCCAAACCACGUCCAUGGAUUUCUUAGCUAAAUAUCAGUUCGAUUUCAAUGCCUGCAUACACGAAGGUACUCUCGCUUCAUAAUUGACAAUUAGAUAUGGCAAAAUUAUUUUCUUUGGGGAAUUCACACUCUUGGUUAAUUUUAGGAGUUUCUUAUCUAUCUAGACGGCAGGAAGAGGAAGCAUUGAAACGUUUGAAUUUGCGAUAUGAGGAUAACGGGUUAUUAGAUAAAGUGAAUGAAUUUAGAGACGUGCCAUUGGCCAGAGUGACCGAUGUUCUUUUCAGUGAAAGAAUGAAGAACAGAUUGAGUGAAUGGCGUGAUGGGUUAUUGAGGAGUGGAAAUGGGGUGCCUCAGUUCCAAGGGAUUUCAAAUCACUCGAGGCAACAGAUGCAAACUAUUUUCUACAAAAUGAGGCCGGCUCUAAGUCUGAAUGGUUUCACUGCUCAUCAGCUUAAAUUGAUUCAGUUGGUCACUAAUAAGCAUUUUGAAGAUCUUGCUUAUGUUCGUUUCAACAGUGAAACUUCUUGUUCACAGCAGAUAGUUGUAUAUAUAGACUCCAAGAGUGACAAGGACCUAUUUAUGAAAGAAGUGAAGGAUGAUUAUCUUAAGGAAGCAGACAUGAAGAUCAAAGCUGCAAUUGGAUUUCGCCAUGUUAUUGACCUUCUUUCUUCUGCACAGAAGUUGAUUGUUGGUCAUAAUUGCUUCUUGGAUAUUGCACACAUAUACAGCAAAUUCUUUGGCCCCCUUCCCCAAACUGCUGAAGGAUUCGUUUCCUCUUUUCACACAUACUUUCCGCACAUUGUUGAUACCAAAGUACUCUUGAAUUCCAAUAGUGUACUCCCUCAAAGGAUGAAGAAAUCAAACACAUCACUCUCAUCAGCCUUUUCAUUACUCUGUCCACAAAUGGCUGUGAAUUCUAAUAAAAUUUCUGAUUUGGCUUUCCGUCCAUUUGUGAAUGUGGAGGUUCAAGUGGAUGAUACGAGGUCUUCCAACUGGAGUUCCGGAAUCAAACAUGAAGCUGGAUAUGAUGCUUUUAUGACAGGUUGUGUAUUUGCCCAGGCAUGCAGUCAUCUAGGCAUUGAUUUUAAGCUCCAUUCGUCCUCCUCAGAGAAUUUGGCCCAAAAUGAAAAACUCCAGAAGUACAUCAACCUUCUAUAUCUCAGUUGGAUUCAUGGGGACAUUAUUGAUCUAAGAACUGGGAAUAUGAUUGCAGAGUCUUCAGGAUCUAAUAAAUUCAGAAAGCAGCAUCCUAAGAUUUUGUUUGAGAAUGUAGUUUUAAUCUGGAGAUUUCCACUGAGACUCAAGGCAACGGAGAUAAGAGAAUGCAUCUCUAAAGUCUUUGGCCUAUGCUCUGUUACAUCCAUCUAUCAUGUGGAUGAAACUGCAGUUUUUGUUCAGUUCAGCAAGGCAGAGCUGGUAUUUGAAUUUCUAGUGUUGAAAGAAUCCUUGGAGAGAAGUAAUGAUGCCAUCUCUGUUUUGCAUCCUCUAUCAAAACUGCUGGAAGGUGGAAACACUUGUGCUGCUGGUUAUGAAACUUACAAAGAGAUCUGCAGUUCACCCAUCUCCAAAGUUCUCUUUGCAGAUCAGGCAGAUGCAGUUGGUAUCAGAUGGAAGACAAGGUUGGUAGAAUCCAAAUUAGAGGCACAAUCCCAAGAGCAAGAAAAUUUUUGUGAAGAAAAUGUAGCAACUACUACAUCAAUAUCUGUUGAAAAAAGCAAGACAGGCAAACAACAUGUGAUAGAUGAUUUGCUGAGUCGCAGAUCAAAAUGUGAUGAGGUUAUUGAUUCUUUUUUUACUGCAGAAGUAAGACAGGUUAGAGCUACUAAUUAGUGAUUCUGGACUGAUUUGUAUUUUUUAAGCGUUAGGGCAUGUUUAGUUUAACAUUUAUUUAUAGCUGAUAGCUGAUUAAUGUUAAGUAUUUGGUAAAAUUAUAUUUAGCUGU